rnacentral:lncRNA from 1 species
UCGAGGGGCAGGCGCAGUUUAUGCACGGUGCGGCUCUCGCAGCUCUCCAGCUGCAGCCGGAUGUCCUUCAGCUGCGAGAUGUAACUGCGCCGCAGCGUCUCCUCCUGCUCUCCUUUCUCCUGCGCGCGCAGCAGCAGCUCGUAGUUCUGCGUGCAGGCGCUGUAGUCGCGCUGCAGCUGCAUGCGGUCGUCGGGCUGGAAGCAGCGCGCGUCAGCGCUGUGCUGCAGGAACUGCUGGUAAUGCGUCUCCAGGCUGCGCAGCGCCCGCUGGCACUCCUCGGCCGCCAUCGUGCGCAGCGUGAGCUGCGUCCAGCUCUGGAUGUGUCGGAUGUCGCGCAGCAGCAGCUGCCAGGAAUGCAACGCCUGCAUGUCCCCGUGCAGCUGCUGCCACAGCUCCUGCAGCCGCGCAUGCGUCCGCUCCAACCUG